GAGUGAACGCUGGCGGUAGGCCUACCCCAUGCAAGUCGAACGGCAGCACAGUAAGAGCUUGCUCUUACGGGUGGCGAGUGGCGGACGGGUGAGGAAUACAUCGGAAUCUACUUUUUCGUGGGGGAUAACGUAGGGAAACUUACGCUAAUACCGCAUACGACCUACGGGUGAAAGCAGGGGAUCUUCGGACCUUGCGCGAUUGAAUGAGCCGAUGUCGGAUUAGCUAGUUGGCGGGGUAAAGGCCCACCAAGGCGACGAUCCGUAGCUGGUCUGAGAGGAUGAUCAGCCACAAUGGAACUGAGACACGGUCCAGACUCCUACGGGAGGCAGCAGUGGGGAAUAUUGGACAAUGGGAGCAAGCCUGAUCCAGCCAUACCGCGUGGGUGAAGAAGGCCUUCGGGUUGUAAAGCCCUUUUGUUGGGAAAGAAAAGCAGCAGGUUAAUACCCCGCUGUUCUGACGGUACCCAAAGAAUAAGCACCGGCUAACUUCGU
rnacentral:rRNA from 1 species